rnacentral:rRNA from 1 species
AUACGGAGGCUCCGAGCGUUAUCCGGAUUUAUUGGGUUUAAAGGGAGCGUAGGUGGAUUGUUAAGUCAGUUGUGAAAGUUUGCGGCUCAACAGUAAAAUUGCAGUUGAAACUGGCAGUCUUGAGUACAGUAGAGGCGGGCGGAAUUCGUGGUGUAGCGGUGAAAUGCUUAGAUAUCACGAAGAACUCCGAUUGCGAAGGCAGCUCACUAGACUGUUACUGACACUGAUGCUCGAAAGUGUGGGUAUCAAACAGGAUUAGAUACCCUGGUAGUCCACACAGUAAACGAUGAAUACUCGCUGUUUGCGAUAUACAGUAAGCGGCCAAGCGAAAGCAUUAAGUAUUCCACCUGGGGAGUACGCCGGCAACGGUGAAACUCAAAUGAAUUGGCGGGG